AUGUCAGAAUCAGGGAACCCUCCUCCCAACUUCCGCUUCUAUUUCUUCAGCUCUGAGGAAGAAACCACCAUUCAAGUUGGAGUGCGGUUAACAUCAAAAGGAGAACGUUACCAAGCAUGUCCUGAAGAUGAAGAUACUCUCAGCCUAACGUCUCCAAGCAAAUAUUGAUUC
rnacentral:lncRNA from 1 species